GAUGGUGGAGGUGGUGUCGGCGUCCUUGGCCGUUUCUUUUGCCGGCGAUAUGUCUGGACGGCCGGUGAUUCGGUGCGUCCUGAUGCUGUUCCCGUAGCCGGUGGCGUUUCGGUGCUGGUGUGGACUGGUGGUGCGUCCCAUGCUUCGUCAUCACUGUCAGAGGGACUGGGUGGUCUCGGUAGCCCUAAUUUCUUCCACAUGAAUGGUCCGCCGGUGGCCUUCAUCUUGAUUCGGACCAUGGUGGUCUUGAGUUUGCCGGUGGGUGAGUGGUGGUUGGAGAAGAAAAUCUUGAAGAAGAAGAGAUGAAAACAGUAAAUUGCGUAAAAAGUAAAAAAAAUAAGAGAAAAUAUACUUAAAGUGAUUUGGGUAGGUGAACUGCCC
rnacentral:lncRNA from 1 species